UUUAGUAAUUGGUCAAGAUCUGAACACUGUGUGUGUUGGGCGGCUACAAGACCAAAUUGUUACUUGGGUACUAACAAUACAUUUGUAUGUCUGUAUACACAGAGGAAGGAAUGAGUGGGGCAGAGAGAGCAGAGCCAAUGAUGGUAAAGACAUACGUCAUCCUGCGGAAAAAAUACUUUAACAAAGUGCCUGCUGCAGCAAUGUCUGAGAUCAAACAGGAAUGGCCAUUUCUCUUCUCUCAGAAAUGCCUAUUCUCAAACAUUGGCCUCCUGAUGGACGUUGAUGUCCUUCAGAAGCUACAGGAGGCAAUUAGUCGACGAGGACAGACCAUCCUGGAUUACUGUGCAACACUGGACAACCCCAAGAUCCGUGAUGUUCUGGCCUGCUAUGAUCCAGACUCUGACAAGGCUGCCUGCAUUCUGCUGCUCCUAAUGUCGUAAUUCAAAGAGCCGAACGAGAGUUUGAUGCUUGAAGUUGAUCCAUGUGCCACUGCUGUGGACGUCAAUACUGCAGAACUCCCCGGAACCCCCUGCUUGAUCAUUCAAGGUGACAUGAUGAAGCCCUCUGGAUGGCUUACUGUAUAUCCAUUGUGGGACAUGUCGUGAUGGGCCCACACCCUUUAUUUUUACAUGGAGUAGCUGCUUUCUUCAGCAGCUAUUGCGUAUUCAACCUUGAGUAUCCUACCGCUGGAUCUUCGACGCUGGAGUUCAUUCAAAGAUGCUUCCUGGGCAUCAAUCCUGAAAGAGGCUCAAAUACCAAGAAGUGGACAACAAUGAACCCUCAUGUGAGCACCCUUUUGAGGAAACUUAUUGACUUUGAGUGGGCAUCAUAGUUUUUUUUUUUGCAGCAGUAGUUGUCAGGCUCAGUUUUGAGUAGCCUUGUUCUUUUUGUA